GAAGGCUAGUUGGUUGUACAAGGGUGGGGUAGGGUGGGUGGACAAGUAAGGCAAGGGGGUUUUGGAAGUAGAGGUACAAUGGUAGGCCUGAGGCUUAUACAGUAGAGGGGAUGACCAAGCUUUAGGGUGAUGGAUUAUGGUAAGCUGUCUUAGGGGUAAUGAAUUACAAGUGUCCUUCUGUCCUUGCCUUUGAAUUAUGUCACUUUAAAUAUGUUUGUAUUACCAAUAUAAAGUGUGAGCAUUCCUUCCAUAAGAAUUUGCCUGUAGAGGCACAUAGCUACUUUUAUUCCUCCUUGUCUCUAAAAGAAACUUUACAUCUGCAAGUGUUCAGCCAUUGAUAUAUCUGACUACGUGACAGUCACAGCAUAAUGGGUACAAGUGUGUACUAUUGCAUUAUUUGGUAUGAGCUAGCAUAAUAUGCAUGGUAUUAUGCCUUAUAUCCAUGAACCGUUUCCAUAGAAAUGGUCUUGUUAGUUAGUUCUGGAUGGUAUAAGAAUUUGAGAAAAGUGCAACAAAAGCCUUGUUUCCAUUAUUUUGUAUGGAACUUCUCUCAAUGAAGCCACUAGAUGAAAGUAAACUCCAAUGUUGAAAUAUGGUUAGAAUUCCUGGAGCCGAGUUGUGGUCUGGACUUGGCUCAGGUCCUUCUUCUUCACUUCUUUGAGUGGCAUUUUAGAAGUUGGGAAGUACAAUAUAGAACAAACUUUAUGGAUAACAACUUCUUUUUAUUGUUAAAAAGAACUUGUUAUCCAUAAAGUUUGUUCUAUAUUGUCCUUCUUCUUCAGUUUGUUUUUGUGUAUAAGUCAACCCUGUGUUCCAGCCUAGCUAGUGUUCCAGCCUUUCGGUGAGUUUUACUGUGUUUGGUGCAUAUUGCACUCAUUUACCUUGUCUUAUAUUGGACCUCCCAUGCAUUCAGAUGUUUCAUUUCUUGUAUAUUUCGACAUGUACAUUAGACUGUUAGCUGUUACUUAUGCACUGUAGUGUACCACUGGGUGAGCUGGGGGCAAUGUGAUGUGAGGUUGGUGAGGAGUGUAUUAUGUAGAGAUGGUGGAUGGAGUUUCCAGGAAACAUAGAUAGAUGUUUGUGUAGUUUCACUAAGUAGAUAUCCCUCUUCCAUGGUUAGUAUCGAUAUUAAAACAUUUCACUGAAGUAUCAAUAUAUUACCUAUCAACUCUGUUGUUAUGUAUGUUGGUCUAAAGGCCUGUCUCUAUGGGUAUUCAGAGUCAUCAGAGGUUACAGUAGUUGGAAAAGUAGAAAAUGGUCAGCUUGAGUAAAACCAGAGUGACAGUCAUUACUUUGAAUAUAGUCUUGAAGCUUUUAAAAACUAAAAAAAAAUACAAAUAAAAUAAAAUACAUUUAAAAACAAUAAGUUGGCCAUUCCUUUGUUUCCCUUGAACACUGCCUGAUUAUUGUAAUCAACAUAUUAGAUUCAACAUUGGUCCAACUACAUGUCACACUGAAUACAGUUUAUGUAAAACUCUAAAUCCUAUCUCAAGCCAUUAUUGUUAGGACAUUGUUUCAGAAAGAAUAAAAAACAGUGGUAUGAAUCGAACUUUUUAUGCCAAAAUAUUUUGAGAUCAGAAUGCCUUGUGUAAAGAAACCUUUCUUCAGUAAAUUUUCAUUUUCCAUAAACUAGUUUGGAUGAUAUGAUGACACUAAGAAGAACAAUACUCACUGGAAGUGUGUCUGUAUAAGUUUUCUUAUGAAAGACAAUUGUUAAACUAAACCUGUUGAACUGUUACCUUGUUGGGAUAUUCAGUGAUGAAGUUUGAAAGCAUUUAAAAAGCCAAAGUGAUGAUUGAUAUCUACGUUGAAUUGAAACUUGAUAGAUGAAAGGUUACUGUUAUGUUUCUCUUGUUAUACAUAUAUAAUCGGCUCACUACUGUAUUGUUAUUGCUUGUAAAGACAUUCCAUUGGGAAAAUGACAUGCUUUGUUAGGUCUGCCACGUUAAACAUUGAAUUGGAACAUGUUCUGGGGAAUUCUUUCUAUAAUUUUGGACUAUUCAUGAAUUAUGUUAUUAAAAAAGGUAUAGCGUAGGACUGCUGCAUAUAUGUUGUUUUACUUUUACGUUUUUAUGAUUGACUAAUUAUCAAAAGACAUGUUAUGUAAAUACAUAUCAAUUUAUUUGGGUAUUUUUAGGACAGUGUUAUGUUAGUAACUGACUUUUGUGCCUGUUACUUAGUUAUCUAAACUAUUUUGUCAUCAUUUGAUGAUUUGAUAAUCAAAAGGUACGGUUCCAGGAAGGGAUUAUGUUGGCUUCUACUUGGUUUUCCACAUAAACAGUGACAAGGUUUGAGGUUAGGCCAUGGACUACAAAGCACCUGUUUGUGGCCCAGGUUUGGAGUCAGGCCAUGGAGUACAAAGCACCUGUUUGUGGCCCAGGUUUGUUGUCCGGCCAUGGAGUACAAAGCACCUGUUUGUGGCCCAGGUUUGGGGUCAGGCCAUGGAGUACAAAGCACCUGUUUGUGGCCCAGGUUUGGGGUCAGGCCAUGGACUACAAAGCACCUGUUUGUGGCCCAGGUUGGAGGUCAGGCCAUUGAGUACAAAGCACCUGUUUGUGGCCCUGGUUUGGGGUCAGGCCAUGGAGUACAAAGCACCUGUUUGUGGCCCAGGUUUGUUGUCCGGCCAUGGAGUACAAAGCACCUGUUUGUGGCCCAGGUUUGUUGUCCGGCCAUGGAGUACAAAGCACCUGUUUGUGGCCCAGGUUUGGGGUCAGGCCAUGGAGUACAAAGCACCUGUUUGUGGCCCAGGUUUUGGGUUAGGCCAUGGAGUACAAAGCACCUGUUUGUGGCCCAGGUUUGGGGUCAGGCCAUGGAGUACAAAUCACCUGUUUGUGGCCCAGGUUUGGGGUCAGGCCAUGGAGUACAAAUCACCUGUUUGUGGCCCAGGUUUUGGGUUAGGCCAUGGAGUACAAAACACCUGUUUGUGGCCCAGGUUUGGGGUUAGGCCAUGGAAUACAAAACACCUGUUUGUGGCCCAGGCUUUAUGUCAGGUGACUGAGUGCAAAGCACUUGUAGGUAGGUUAGGCAGCUUAUCAUCAACAAAUGGUCACACACUUACUGGUAUUACUGGGACAUUUCAACCUGUACUUAAACAUUGAUUUAUAAUGCUUACAUUUACUAGGCUGAAUAAACAGCCAAUUACAAAUGGUCACAUGACCAUGUCUUUCAUUGCCCUGAGGAAAUGAAAAUUAUAUCCACAGACAUCCAUGAUAUGUUUCAUGUGAGUUGAUGUUCGUGCAGGUAUCAGAGGAGAGUUCAUCACGAGCAUGUAACAUUGUUUAUGUACACCCAGUCUGAAUAUGUCUACAUUUAUUUCUAUAUUUAUGUAUGUACACAUUGUACAGUUGUGGUAGAAGCUGAGAGAGUGGGCAACGUUAUUCCUGUGGAUGUUUUAUUGUUUGUUUUAUUCGACUAGUUUUUUGAUGUUUUUGCAAGAUUUCUAUAUUAUACGCAAUGCCUUGUGACUUUUCAUUCUGUUAACACUUUACCAGGCCGUAGGAUGUGAGAUUUAGAAAAAUAAUGCAUUUGAUACUUUGUUUUAUUAUUCUCAGCACAAUGGAAUUAAUUUCAGAUUGUGUAUAAUUUCUUUACUAACACUUCGUAACAAUUUGAGGCAGUAGAAUUCAAACAGCGGAAUAUAUUAUGGCUUUGAUUUUAGUUCUAAAAUGGUAACAUUUCUGACAUUGUUGAUGAUUUUGUAGUGAUCUCCUGAAUGCUUGAGUCAUAUCAUGUGAAAUGUUCACUAUUCAGGCAAAGCUUCUGUUAGUCACAGUCAGUCUAAAGUCUCCUAUUAUGGGGUAUCACGACCUAGGAACGUUUCUUUAGACACGGUAAGCACCAGUGGUAUCAAUGCUGCCCUCACUGAGUGGAUUGAUAAAGCAGUGGUGAUUGCUAGGUCUUUGUGUAGAGAUGAGUUGGAAAGCAUAUGUCUGAUAAAGGAAACAUGUAAAAUCUUGAAGUGCACCUUGAACAACACUUGGUCGUAACAUGGAACAAACACCCACAUUCAGCAGUAUUGAUGUUUUCUAAAAGCAUGUUUUGUAGGUUGCACAUACAAACAUAUUACUCACUGAAUAGGAAACAUUAUUUCAGAAAGCCCCCCGGAAGUUUUAGAUAUGGUGAUUGAUUUUAGCCGAGUUUCUGCAGAUAUAUGAGAAUGUUUGAAAUCUUACCACCUCUAUGAUAUGUACUGGUGCUUGUAGUGUUGUAUGGCAAAUGAAAUGGUUUCAACUUCUGGAUAUGCUUCCAUGUUUGAUAUAAUGUAUUAUGUUCUUGAAAUGUAUGUAUACUGUUUUAUGGCACUAUUAUGCACAUGUUACAAUAAGAUUAACACUAACUAAAUAAAUAUAUACAAUUGGUACCAAGACUUUUGUUAGAGGAUUAAUUUUGUAUUAGUAAUCAAGAAAAAAAUAUUCAUGCUUGUUAGAUUUUGGCGUUGCGAAAUGUAAAGGAAGCCUUUAUGGUGAAGUAUUGAUUUCAGUGACAGACAAACCUUAGUUCUGAAGGGAACCACUUGUUCCCCUGCCCAAAGACUGUUCUCGUAUCAAGUGUAAGUAACAGGUGGAACUCCUUCAUGUAUCUGUGAUCUGGGAGCUGUCCCUUCAGCAUGUGGCAUCACAUGCUGCCAUCAUCAUGCCAACCACAAGUCCAAUAAAACAUGAUAUACCUCUUUACGAUGCCCUAUGGGUUUUUGGGUCUGUGAUGCCACAUGUUGAUUGAGCAGGUCAUUGAGAUGCAUGGUUCCAAGUUAUUUUGGUCAGGAAGUUGCUACCAAGGCACCUUGAGACAUGGGGGAUCACCUAGCUCGUUAUUGCACAGGAACACUGGCUUUUGUCAUUACAUUAUCAUCACUUUAUCACUGCAUUCAUCGACAUCAUCAAAGAUGAUGGUCGGUGCUAUUUUCACAAAUAAAGAGGUAUAAAUUCA